rnacentral:rRNA from 1 species
UAGGGAAUCUUCCGCAAUGGACGCAAGUCUGACGGAGCAACGCCGCGUGAGUGAAGAAGGAUUUCGGUUCGUAAAACUCUGUUGUUAGAGAAGAACAGCGCAUAGAGUAACUGUUAUGCGUGUGACGGUAUCUAACCAGAAAGCCACGGCUAACUACGUGCCAGCAGCCGCGGUACUACGUAGGUGGCAAGCGUUGUCCGGAUUUAUUGGGCGUAAAGCGAGCGCAGGCGGUCAAUUAAGUCUGAUGUGAAAGCCCCCGGCUCAACCGGGGAGGGGCAUUGGAAACUGGUUGACUUGAGUGCAGAAGAGGAGAGUGGAAUUCCAUGUGUAGCGGUGAAAUGCGUAGAUAGAUGGAGGAACACCAGUGGCGAAGGCGACUGUCUGGUCUGUAACUGACGCUGAUGUGCGAAAGCGUGGGGAUCAAACAGG